rnacentral:rRNA from 1 species
UACGUAGGGUGCAAGCGUUAAUCGGAAUUACUGGGCGUAAAGCGUGCGCAGGCGGUUAUGUAAGACAGGUGUGAAAUCCCCGGGCUUAACCUGGGAACUGCAUUUGUGACUGCAUAGCUAGAGUACGGUAGAGGGGGAUGGAAUUCCGCGUGUAGCAGUGAAAUGCGUAGAUAUGCGGAGGAACACCGAUGGCGAAGGCAAUCCCCUGGACCUGUACUGACGCUCAUGCACGAAAGCGUGGGGAGCAAACAGGAUUAGA